rnacentral:lncRNA from 1 species
GAGAGGAGGAAGCGGCGCUCAUGGGGUUGCAAGGAUGUAGAGGAGCAAAGGGAGAGAAGAGGCCGCGGGAAGAGAGGUGGUGCGAGACCCGCGGAGGCGCCGGCCAAGGACGGGCGCAUGGAGCAGCGGGCGGCGCGACCGGCCGGGUGCUGGCCAUUCAGGCCCGAAAGCGGAGGCCGAAAAGAGAGAAACAUCCGAAAAAAAAUCAAGCAGAAGAUUGAGCUGCUGAUGUCAGUUAACUCUGAGAAGUCGUCCUCUUCAGAAAGGCCGGAGCCUCAACAGAAAGCUCCUUUAGUUCCUCCUCCUCCACCGCCACCACCACCACCACC